UACAGAGGGUGCGAGCGUUUAAUCGGAAUUACUGGGCGUAAAGCGCACGUAGGUGGCGACGUAAGUCGGGUGUGAAAGCCCCGGGCUCAACCUGGGAAUUGCAUUCGAGACUGCAUUGCUGGAGUACGGAAGAGGAAGGCGGAAUUCCCGGUGUAGCGGUGAAAUGCGUAGAUAUCGGGAGGAACAUCAGUGGCGAAGGCGGCCUUCUGGUCCAGUACUGACACUCAAGUGCGAAAGCGUGGGGGAGCAAACAGG
rnacentral:rRNA from 1 species